UGUACUGUGGCUCAGUGGUAGAGUGCUUGCUUAGCAUGCAUGAAGUCCUGGGUUCGAUUUCUCAGCACCACAU
rfam:Dipodomys ordii contig_56343, whole genome shotgun sequence.